CGACAGGACGGAAAGACCCCAUGGAGCUUUACUGUAGUUUGAUAUUGAGUACCUGUAAGUCAUGUACAGGAUAGGUAGGAGCCAUUGAAAUAGGGACGCUAGUUUCUAUUGAGGCGUUGUUGGGAUACUACCCUUGACUUAUGGUUACUCUAACCCGCUGGCAUAAUCGGCCAGGGAGACAGUGUCUGACGGACAGUUUGACUGGGGCGGUCGCCUCCUAAAGAGUAACGGAGGCGCUCAAAGGUUGGCUCAGAUUGGUUGGAAAUCAAUCGUAGAGUGUAAAGGUAAAAGCCAGCUUGACUGCGAGAGCUACAACUCGAGCAGGUAGGAAACUAGGACUUAGUGAUCCGGUGGUACCGCAUGGAAGGGCCAUCGC
rnacentral:rRNA from 2 species